UACAGAGGUGGCAAGCGUUGUUCGGAAUUACUGGGCGUAAAGGGCGCGUAGGCGGCCUUCUAAGUCAGACGUGAAAUCCCCCGGCUUAACCUGGGAACUGCGUCUGAUACUGCAGGGCUAGAGUCCGGAAGAGGCGAGUGGAAUUCCUGGUGUAGCGGUGAAAUGCGCAGAUAUCAGGAGGAACACCGAUGGCGAAGGCAGCUCGCUGGGACGGUACUGACGCUGAGGCGCGAAAGCGUGGGGAGCAAACAGG
rnacentral:rRNA from 1 species